rnacentral:rRNA from 1 species
AUUGAACGCUGGCGGCAGGCCUAACACAUGCAAGUCGAACGCGUCGCGGACGGGUGAGUAAUGUCUGGGAAACUGCCCGAUGGAGGGGGAUCACUAGUGGAAACGGUCGCUAAUACCGCAUACCAUCGGAUGUGCCCAGAGGGGAUUAGCUAGUAGGUGGGGUAAAGGCUCACCUAGGCGACGAUCCAGAGCGGGUCUGAGAGGAUGACCAGCCACACUGGAACUGAGACACGGUCCAGACUCCUACGGGAGGCAGCAGUGGGGAAUAUUGCACAAUGGGCGCAAGCCUGAUGCAGCCAUGCCGCGUGUAUGAAGAAGGCCUUCGGGUUGUAAAGUACUUUCAGCGGGGAGGCGUUACCCGCAGAAGAAGCACCGGCUAACUCCGUGCCAGCAGCCGCGGUAAUUC